AGCAUCUGUUUAAUGUAUCCGGGACAUUUUCUUAAAUCUCGCAUCUCACAUACAUCACAAACCGCCCAAUAUUUCAACUGCAUUGAAUUCAGGCAGUUACCAGGCAGUUACAGGCAGUCGCUUGAGCAGUCAGGUUCAACACAGGCCUCAGGUCAAAAAGAGUUUUUAGCUCCAGAGCAGUUCUAUCCAAGGAGGCUUUAGGAGGAAAACUAGAAUUUUUGAAGCAAUCGAGAA